UACGUAGGGGGCUAGCGUUGUCCGGAAUCAUUGGGCGUAAAGAGCGUGUAGGCGGUCCGGUAAGUCCGCUGUGAAAGUCGGGGGCUCAACCCUCGAAUGCCGGUGGAUACUGUCGGGCUAGAGUGCGGAAGAGGCGAGUGGAAUUCCUGGUGUAGCGGUGAAAUGCGCAGAUAUCGGGAAGAACACCCGUGGCGAAGGCGGUUCUCUGGGCAGUAACUGGACGCUGAGGAGCGAAAGCGUGGGGAGCGAACAGG
rnacentral:rRNA from 1 species